UGUGUAGGCGGCCGCGCAAGUCUGGUGUGAAAUCUUCACCGCUUAACGGGAAGAGGUCACUGGAAACUGCGUGGCUCGAGUAUGGUAGAGGCAAGCGGAAUUCCUGGUGUAGCGGUGGAAUGUGUAGAUAUCAGGAAGAACACCGGUGGCGAAGGCGGCUUGCUGGGCCAUCACUGACGCUGAGACACGAAAGCGUGGGGAGCAAACGGGAUUAGAUACCCCGGUAGUCCACGCUGUAAACGGUGCGCACUAGGUGUGAGGGGUAUCGACCCCCCUUGUGCCGAAGCAAGCGCAUUAAGUGCGCCGCCUGGGGAGUACGGCCGCAAGGUUGAA
rnacentral:rRNA from 1 species